rnacentral:piRNA from 1 species
UAGUAAGUUCUUCAGGAUAAAUAAUGAGUG